UCGGUGCCGCCGGGGCACGGCGGGCGGGCGGGCAGCGGCGGGGGCAGCGGGAGAGCCGGGCUGCCGUGCGGGAGCGGGGACACCGACCGCGGCCGGGGACAGCUGGGCACAUCCAGAAUUAGAUGUACAUGUGUAUCACGCAUAUCUCCCGGAGGAAAGGGGCAGGGGGCCGAUGCUCGAAGCGCAGAGAGGCGAGGCGGGUGGGCAGCUCCCCGCUGCCGGGCGCGGGAGGGUCCGCGGGGCCGCAGCCGCUGCCCGGAGGGCGCCCAGCACCGCGCGGCCUCCCGCAGCCCCCGCCCGGCUCCGCGGGAUGCCCCCGCAGCUUUCAAUGAAAUCCAAUUCAUAAAUUGGACAUGCUCAGGCUCAGAAGACUAAUUCAUCCCCUAAAACAAACGCAUCAGUGAUUGCAGGCACCCAAACGUGACAAGCGUCUCAAUAUACCGAGGAACCAGAGAAAACAAAUUCAUUCAGGAGCCCGAAACGUAAUUAAAACUACUGCCAAGAAAAUUAGUUGAGUGCAGGAUGUUACCAAGAUUAUUAAGUUGCUGUAGGGCUGAGGCACGGACCGCUAUAGCGAUACAUAGAGAUAAUGUCAGCCUUUGGAUAACGGGAAGCAGAGCGAUUCCUGGAGGUCGCAGUCUUGCAAGCGCAAGCCUGGUAACAGCGCGCUGUGGCCGCAUCCUGCUCUCGGGAAGCGAAAGGCAGAGCCCGAGGGCUCGGCAGGGAAUGACCGGGUCCCCGCCGCCUGCUGAGCCCCGGGAGGCUGGUCACGGAGGGUCCGGCGGCACCCGGACCCCUGUCACUUACUAUAGCAUCCCUGUGACGUCUGUUCAGCACACUUUUUGUAACCAUCACCUGUAUAUGCUCUAGUAAAUUCUCCGGAUACUUAGCAUUGCUUGCUUGCAGGAGCGAUAGCUGCAAUGUAUUUAUUCCAUAUAGAAAAUAUUUUUUUUCCAUGCAGAGCACAGUACAACAAGAACUGCUCAAUGCUAAAGGAGUAGGAAAUCUAGAUAAGCUUUACAGUGGCUGGGGAGGCAGAAGGGGGAGGGAACACACAGUAUAGAUGGAGCAGAGUGAAAGGGAAGGAAACCAAAAUGGAAAUGAUACGAACAAGAAUCCCUGUUGAUCCACAUGCAUCAACAACCUCUUAUUCAGUGGUAGUUACAAGCACAGCUUUUGAACAGGGAAGAGCAGAGGGUAAAUAAAACAAGAUAUGGUUUUUAAAAAUAAAUCACUUGUUAACUACUCUUACUUACAGUCCUUGUCUUAAAUAUGCAAUUUCACACUGAUCAAUGCAGAAUGAUAUAUACUAUACUCUGCAUUUCAUGUAAUAAAAACACUUAAUCCAGAUAAUUGGCUUCUGGGACAGAGAUCAAUAGAAAUGUUCCUUAUUUGACUACGUUAGCAAGUCAAAAUUAAUUCUAAUUUACAUUUGCUUCAAAUCAAUACGCACUUAGUGACUUACACAGGCUCUUUAAAAAGUUAAGCACCUAUAUUGACCAGAGUCAUAUAUAUGUCAGUAACAAGUACAUGUGUGGGAAUUAGAGAGGGGGAAAGUGUUACCACAGAACCAGUCUCUGACUUUCAUAGAGUAAAGGAGGCUAAAUUUAUUUGUGUUUGAGUAGUGCUUUGGCAUCCUAGCCUGAAAGCUGUAGAAACAUGCAGCUGUUAACCCUGUGAUUUGUGCAGGCACCCAAGCACCCAUCAGUAGCACUCCAAGCACUUGGGAGCAGGUUUGCCUCUUUCUGUAGUUUGCACAGUGAGGUCCUGACCUCAGCUCGGAUGCCUCUGGCUGCUAUUUUAGUAAUAAUGAAAUAGUAAUAUAAAAUAUUAAAAAUCUAAACCCAGUGAAUUGGACAAGUUACAAAAUUUCCUGUGAACUCCAUGAGCAAACACUCUGCAUGCAGAAAAGGAUCCAGUCCCAGCCAAGGGAGGGAUGGGGGAAAGACAAGAGCCCAGAAUACUGUAGAACAGACCAACUGAAACAGGCCCCAAAACUGGGUAGAAGGCUAUAGUCAGAGGACAACAACAAACAAGAAAAAUGCCUAGAAGAAAUCUCAAGUGCCAUAAAAUCUGAUAUGCAACAUGCAAAGUACAAUGAGACCUAAAUGGAUCCACCACAGUAAAGAGCAGAACUGCAAGUUCAGUAGAGUCUCUUCAGGAUGAAGAGUUGCAGCAGUCAGGCUCCAUUGCCUUUUCUUUCCCAUUAUUUGCAUAAUUUUUUUCUUUCUCCUCUCCCACCACUCUUUUUUUUUUUUUUAACAACAACAACAAAAAAAAAAAAGCCAAGAACUUUGACUUGGAUUAUGUCUUCCAUAACACUUACUGAUUCCCCUGUGAUUUCCCUCCUUCCCAAAAAAGCUAUCAAUGUUACAUUUCUAAGCCCAGUAUAAAUGAGACCACUCAUUUCAAUUCUGCCACUCAUCAUUUGCCAUCAGGAGAGUGCUGACAUUUUGCAGAGGGUGAACAUUGUUUAGAUGCAGCAAGCAACACUAAAAGGCUAAUCCAUUUGCCAACAUUUUGCAUAUUAAGAAUGUUGUAGGUCACUGUGAUAUUCCAUCAUCAUUGCAUAGGGGACUCAUAGCACAUUAUUACCCAAGGUACCACUGGAUUUACAGUGCCAAUGGAAGAAUGGCAUCUCAUUAGCAAUAUGUAACAUAAAUACCCAACUCAAGUGACAGACACCACUCAAAAUUCAACUCUGUGGCAACAGAUGUGAUUCUAUGCAGAUUUCAGACAGCUCUAUUACCUUUGCAAACCACUGUGGUGAUUUUAGGCUUACCUAUCAUGAGUUAUUGCUGUGCUUAUUGCUGUUAUCUGAAUGAACACGGUAUGAAACCUGUACCAAAUGGGGUUUGCUACCACAAGAGAAUGGCCUGAGUAAUGCUCCAAAAACUACAUUGCAAAUAGAAACAUAAAGUAUCCUAUAAAGGUAAACUGAAAGGUUUGUGCAGUGCCACACUCAGAGCCUUGUGCCCAGGGCUCUGUCCCUCUGUGCUACCACAGCAAGAAUGAAGCACGUUUUGAAAGACAACAUCAGAACUCUGGCUGCAGGACAUGCCUGGGUCUGGAAAGCCCCUCACGUUCACUGAGCAUUUACAAAGCUGCUUCAUAAGCAGGAACUCCACAAGACCAUAACAUUGAGACUGUUUUCAUACUAUACCCUAUGCUCAGAAUAAAUGGAGUGCUUUAAGAUUCAA